GGGCUCUUGGCACAGUUGGUAGCGCGCACGCUUUGCAUACUAGAUUGUCUGCGUGAGGUCGUGGGUUCAAUUCCACAGUGUCCA